rnacentral:lncRNA from 1 species
GUUGUAAGAGGCCCCACAAUAUCUCUAGAGCAAAGGUUAUACCAGCAAAUCAGAGAAAAUGCUGGGCUACCCCUCUGUUACCAUCUGUUACUUGGCACAACAUUUGAUGGGAAAGCCUGACAGCCUGGCUUCUGUGCACAUGAUAUAGGGGGUGGGGGCAAUAGUUAAAGUUCUAUACUUGUCCAUUUGGCAACUCUGUACUGACUAGAGGCUUUUCCUUUUUCCAGUGCUGGACGUUGAACCUGGGGUUUCUUACAUUCUAGGCAAGCACUGUACCACUAACCAACAUCCCAAGUCCAUUUUUAUACAUUUUAAUUUCCUCCCGAGUCUCACCAAACCACCCAGGAUUGCCUCACAUGUGCGAUGCUCCUGCCUGAGCCUCCCCACUAGCUUGGAUUACAGAGUGGAGCACCAUGCUGUGGGGAAGUGUGCUUUUAUAUUUCACAUACAGAGACCUCAUAGACUAAUGGAGCUCCGCUGAUAGUACUGAUGUGGAAUAUACCUAAAUUCCCACACUGAUGCCCACAUUAGAGUGAAAGCAGGUCUUCCCACUCUCCCUAUGGUUACUGACCAUUCUUCUAGCUGCUUAGGAUCAGAAUUUCUCUUUCUUCUUCCAGCCUCACCUGCGCCAGUUUCUGGGCUGAGCUCUGACAUUUUGCCUCUAGUUCCAGGAGGUGGCUCUUGAGUUCAUGGUUCUUCCACUCCAAGUUGGCCUCAUUCUCCCUCAGGCUCAUCAGCAUCUGCUCUUCUUUCUCCAGCCUCCACAGAUAAGAAUCCCUCUCACUGUGCAGAAAAGUGUGGAGAUUCUUAAAUUCAGACUUGAUUUUUCUGUCUCUGAAUCUCUGUCUUAUCCUAGAGUCAAGAAAAUAUGAUCAGAACUACAAACAAACCAAGUCUCUACACCUGCAUGAAUGCAUACACAAAAUUGCUAUACAGAUACCAUGGAGUCUUACCCAGUUGCAAAAAGAAUGGAAAUCUACUCCUUUCUACAAAGGUGAUGCUUACUGGGUGCAUAAUGAGGUUCAGGCAGAUGGAGCAGGUGGCGAUCUCUUUCACCUUGUUGGUGCCAGUAGCUGAAGCCAUGACUUUUCUCAAGAACCUCCACUGCUGAUCUGGACAUGGAGAUGAAGCAGUUAGAAUUUGCACAAGAUACAAGGAGAGC